UAGUCCAAAAAGGUAUAUCUCCUAAUUAAGUGUAGGUUUAGCUAUGAUCUUAAAACUUAAAAACUUUGCCGGUAUUCUAGUCUAUUCAGAGGACCCUGUUCUAUAAUCGAUAAUCCACGUUGGACCUUACUUAAAUUUGUUUUCAAUUUAUAUACCGUCGUUAUAAGAAUAUUUUAUAAGAAAAACAAUUUUCAAAGAUUUGCACAAUAAUCUAUAUCAGGUCAAGGUGUAGCUUAUGUUUAAGAGGAGAUGGGUGACAAUAAAGUUUCUCUUUGCAUGUAAUUAUGAAAAGAUUAAUGAAAUCGGAUCUGAUAGUAAAGAUAUACAGACUAAGAGUUCGAUUAUAGCUGUAUAAUACGUACACAUCGCCCGUCGCUCUUAUUAAUAAGAUCCGAUAACGUCGUAACAUAGUAGAUGUACUGGAAAGUGUAUCUAGAAGCA
rnacentral:rRNA from 1 species